rnacentral:rRNA from 1 species
UACAGAGGUCUCAAGCGUUGUUCGGAUUCAUUGGGCGUAAAGGGUGCGUAGGCGGCGCGGUAAGUCGGAUGUGAAAUCUCGGAGCUUAACUCCGAAACUGCAUUCGAUACUGCCGUGCUUGAGGACUGGAGAGGAGACUGGAAUUUACGGUGUAGCGGUGAAAUGCGUAGAUAUCAGGAGGAACACCGGUGGUGUAGACGGCUUUCUGGACCGUAACUGACGCUGAAACACGAAAGCUAGGGGGAGCAAAACAGG